rnacentral:miRNA from 1 species
GGGCUGGGCGGGGCUGGGCUGGGGAGAAGGGGCACCACGGACACUGCAGCCGCUCUGCCUCGGGCUGCCUGUCAAAGCG